rnacentral:misc_RNA from 1 species
GAAAUGCGAUAAGUAAUGUGAAUUGCAGAAUUCAGUGAAUCAUCGAAUCUUUGAACGCACAUUGCGCCCUCUGGUAUUCCGGGGGGCAUGCCUGUUCGAGCGUCAUUACACCACUCAAGCCCAGCUUGGUAUUGGGAAUCUUGCCCUUUCCCCUCGGGGAGGGGCAAUUCCAAAAAAUUAGCGGCGGUGCAGCCGGACUUUCCCCAGCGCAGUGACUUACCAUCUCGCUACGGAACCCGAUUGCCCCGGCCGGAUAAUCUUUUUUUUCUCCCCGGAGGAAAGAUAUUACUUUCAAUGGUUGACCUCGGAUCAGGUAGGGAUACCCGCUGAACUUAA